rnacentral:rRNA from 1 species
AACGAACGCUGGCGGCGUGGAUAAGACAUGCAAGUCGAACGAUGACUUGGGAGUAGCAAUAUUUCCAAGUCGCAGUGGCGAAAGGGUGCGUAACACGUGGGCAAUCUGCCGUGAAGUUGGGAAUAACUCGCCGAAAGGCGAGCUAAUGCCGAAUGUGGCUGCAAUCAGGCAUCUGGAUGCAGCUAAAGCUGGGACCGUAAGGCCUGGCGCUUCAUGAUGAGCCCGCGGCCUAUCAGCUUGUUGGUGAGGUAACGGCUCACCAAGGCUAAGACGGGUAGCUGGUCUGAGAGGACGACCAGCCACACUGGAACUGAGACACGGUCCAGACACCUACGGGUGCAGCAGUCGAGAAUCUUUCUCAAUGGGCGAAAGCCUGAAGGAGCGACGCCGCGUGGGGA